GAUGAACGCUGGCGGCGUGCCUAAUACAUGCAAGUCGAGCGAACAGACGAGGAGCUUGCUCCUCUGACGUUAGCGGCGGACGGGUGAGUAACACGUGGAUAACCUACCUAUAAGACUGGGAUAACUUCGGGAAACCGGAGCUAAUACCGGAUAAUAUAUUGAACCGCAUGGUUCAAUAGUGAAAGACGGUUUUGCUGUCACUUAUAGAUGGAUCCGCGCGGCAUUAGCUAGUUGGUAAGGUAACGGCUUACCAAGGCAACGAUGCGUAGCCGACCUGAGAGGGUGAUCGGCCACACUGGAACGGAGACACGGUCCAGACUCCUACGGGAGGCAGCAGUGGGGAAUCUUCCGCAAUGGGCGAAAGCCUGACGGAGCAACGCCGCGUGAGUGAUGAAGGUCUUCGGAUCGUAAAACUCUGUUAUUAGGGAAGAACAAAUGUGUAAGUAACUAUGCACGUCUUGACGGUACCUAAUCAGAAAGCCACGGCUAACUACGUG
rnacentral:rRNA from 1 species